GAUGAACGCUGGCGGCGUGCCUAAUACAUGCAAGUAGAACGCUGAAGGAGGAGCUUGCUCUUCUGGAUGAGUUGCGAACGGGUGAGUAACGCGUAGGUAACCUGCCUCUUAGCGGGGGAUAACUAUUGGAAACGAUAGCUAAUACCGCAUAAAAGUCGAUAUCGCAUGAUAUUGAUUUGAAAGGUGCAAUUGCAUCACUAAGAGAUGGACCUGCGUUGUAUUAGCUAGUUGGUGAGGUAACGGCUCACCAAGGCGACGAUACAUAGCCGACCUGAGAGGGUGAUCGGCCACACUGGGACUGAGACACGGCCCAGACUCCUACGGGAGGCAGCAGUAGGGAAUCUUCGGCAAUGGGGGCAACCCUGACCGAGCAACGCCGCGUGAGUGAAGAAGGUUUUCGGAUCGUAAAGCUCUGUUGUAAGAGAAGAACGAGUGUGAGAGUGGAAAGUUCACACUGGACGGUAACUACCA
rnacentral:rRNA from 1 species